UAAAGUGGCGAACGGCUGAGUAACACGUGGGCAACCUGCCCUUUGCACUGGGAUAGCCUCGGGAAACCGAGGUUAAUACCGGAUACUCCAUAUUUGUCGCAUGGCGAAUAUGGGAAAGCUCCGGCGGCAAAGGAUGGGCCCGCGGCCUGUUAGCUAGUUGGUGGGGUAGUGGCCUACCAAGGCAAUGAUGGGUAGCCGGGUUGAGAGACCACCGGCCAGAUUGGGACUGAGACACGGCCCAGACUCCUACGGGAGGCAGCAGUG
rnacentral:rRNA from 1 species